rnacentral:rRNA from 1 species
AACAGCUCAAAUUUGAAAUCUGGCCCCUCGGGGUCCGAGUUGUAAUUUGUAGAGGAUGCUUUUGGUGAGGUGCCGCCCGAGUUCCCUGGAACGGGACGCCACAGAGGGUGAGAGCCCCGUCUGGCUGGCCACCGAGCCUCUGUAAAGCUCCUUCGACGAGUCGAGUAGUUUGGGAAUGCUGCUCAAAAUGGGAGGUAUAUGUCUUCUAAAGCUAAAUAUUGGCCAGAGACCGAUAGCGCACAAGUAGAGUGAUCGAAAGAUGAAAAGCACCUUGAAAAGAGGGUUAAAUAGUACGUGAAAUUGUUGAAAGGGAAGCGCUUGUGACCAGACUUGGGCGCGGCGGAUCAUCCGGGGUUCUCUCCGGUGCACUUCGCCGCGUCUAGGCCAGCAUCAGUUCGUCGCGGGGGAAAAAGGUUUCGGGAACGUGGCUCCUCCGGGAGUGUUAUAGCCCGUUGCAUAAUACCCUGCGGUGGACUGAGGACCGCGCAUCUGCAAGGAUGCUGGCGUAAUGGUCACCAGCGACCCGUCUUGAAACACGGACCAAGGAGUCGUCUUCGUAUGCGAGUGUUCGGGUGUCAAACCCCUACGCGUAAUGAAAGUGAACGCAGGUGAGAGCUUCGGCGCAUCAUCGACCGAUCCUGAUGUUCUCGGAUGGAUUUGAGUAAGAGCAUACGGGGCCGGACCCGAAAGAAGGUGAACUAUGCCUGUAUAGGGUGAAGCCAGAGGAAACUCUGGUGGAGGCUCGCAGCGGUUCUGACGUGCAAAUCGAUCGUCAAAUAUGGGCAUGGGGGCGAAAGACUAAUCGAACCUUCUAGUAGCUGGUUUCCGCCGAAGUUUCCCUCAGGAUAGCAGUGUUGAGCUCAGUUUUAUGAGGUAAAGCGAAUGAUUAGGGACCCGGGGGCGCUAUAUUGCCUUCAUCCAUUCUCAAACUUUAAAUAUGUAAGAAGCCCUUGUUACUUAGUUGAACGUGGGCAUUCGAAUGUAUCAACACUAGUGGGCCAUUUUUGGUAAGCAGAACUGGCGAUGCGGGAUGAACCGAACGCGAGGUUAAGGUGCCAGAGUAGACGCUCAUCAGACACCACAAAAGGCGUUAGUACAUCUUGACAGCAGGACGGUGGCCAUGGAAGUCGGAAUCCGCUAAGGACUGUGUAACAACUCACCUGCCGAAUGUACUAGCCCUGAAAAUGGAUGGCGCUCAAGCGUCUCACCCAUACCUCGCCCUCG